UAUGUGAUCGUCUCUCGCAUAUCAAUAAGCGGAGGAAAAGAAACUAACAAGGAUUCCCCUAGUAACGGCGAGUGAAGCGGGAAGAGCUCAAAUUUGAAAUCUUAAAGGGUUUCCCUUUACGAAUUGUAGUUUAAAGAAGUGUUUUCUGUUGAGGUUUUGGUAAAAGUUCUUUGGAAUAGGACAUCAUAGAGGGUGAGAAUCCCGUAUUUGACCUUUACUUUCAACUUUGUGAUACACUUUCAAAGAGUCGGAUUGUUUGGGAAUGCAGUCCAAAAUGGGUGGUAAAUUUCAUCUAAAGCUAAAUAUUGGCGAGAGACCGAUAACGAACAAGUACCGUGAGGGAAAGAUGAAAAGAACUUUGAAAAGAGAGUUAAACAGUACGUGAAAUUGUCAAAAGGGAAGCGUUUGACACCAGUGUUGUUUUUCUGAAAAUCAAUUAAAGAACUGUUUAUGCUAAGUUGUUUAGACUUUAUCAGCUAUCUGCUUAGUUUUGAGCUUUUCUUUAAUGCACUUUUCAGUUAACAAGUCAACAUCAAUUUCUUUUGCUGUAAAAAAGCUUGAGGAAGGUGGCUUGAGAUUCGUCUUAAGUGUUUAUAGCCUCUUGCCUAUGCAGUCGGAGAGAUUGAGGUCUGCAGCGUAGAUCCUUCGGGGCUAAAUGCAUUUGUGCUAAGUUAUAGCAUUUUAUAGACAACUUGUUGACUAUGAUUUGUCUUGUAGCUUACUCGCUUAUGUUAUUUUACCUACGCUUAGGAUGUUGAAGACUCUACAGAGAUA
rnacentral:rRNA from 1 species